GCGCACCAUCCCUCCUGGCGGCCCCGCCUGUGACCGUGGCCCGGAAUGCCGGCCACGCACCAUCCCUCCUGGCGGCCCCGGGAAGCACAGACGUGCCGGCACGCUCAGCACAGGCACAGCCGUUUCUCUUCUCUGAACAAGUCACCCCCGGGGCUCGGAUGGACACGGGCAGCUCCCGGGACCCGGGGAGGACCCAGGGAGCAUCUGCCCCUGGAGCGAUGGCCCCACAGGCUGGAAGGCGAGGCGAUCUGAGAGCAUCGCGUGGAGCCCGUGCCCGGGAUCGAGGACGGCCUCGCCCGCGGGGAAACCAGCCUCCCGUCUCCGCAGCCCUGCUCGGACGGGUCUCCCAGGAGGAAGUCGCCAAAGGGAACGGGCUGACGAGGGUCCCGAGUACCCCACCUCGGGCUGGGCAGGCGGCGCUGAGGGGCACAGAGGGGAACGGCCGAGGCCCCUCCCUCCGCCCGAGAGCCUGUGGCUUCCACGCGCGCCUCCCCCCGUGGGCACUGGAAACCCCAGAUCCUGGGCCUGAGGCCACGCCACCUGCGGAGGGACCAGCCGUGGUCACCUCGCCCGGGCUCACGUCCCUCCUUCAGCUCCUCCCUGGCCCGGAGGUGUCCUGGUUACACCCUACACUCAU